rnacentral:rRNA from 1 species
UACAGAGGUCCCAAGCGUUGUUCGGAUUCAUUGGGCGUAAAGGGUGCGUAGGCGGCGCGGGAAGUCGGGUGUGAAAUCUCGGAGCUUAACUCCGAAACUGCAUUCGAUACUGCCGUGCUUGAGGACUGGAGAGGAGACUGGAAUUUACGGUGUAGCGGUGAAAUGCGUAGAUAUCAGGAGGAACACCGGUGGCGAAGGCGGGUCUCUGG